rnacentral:rRNA from 1 species
CCUACGGGAGGCAGCAGUGAGGAAUAUUGGUCAAUGGACGAGAGUCUGAACCAGCCAAGUAGCGUGAAGGAUGACUGCCCUAUGGGUUGUAAACUUCUUUUAUAUGGGAAUAAAAUGUUCCACGUGUGGGAUUUUGUAUGUACCAUAUGAAUAAGGAUCGGCUAACUCCGUGCCAGCAGCCGCGGUAAUACGGAGGAUCCGAGCGUUAUCCGGAUUUAUUGGGUUUAAAGGGAGCGUAGGUGGAUUGUUAAGUCAGUUGUGAAAGUUUGCGGCUCAACCGUAGAAUUGCAGUUGAAACUGGCAGUCUUGAGUACAGUAGAGGUGGGCGGAAUUCGUGGUGUAGCGGUGAAAUGCUUAGAGAUCACGAAGAACUCCGAUUGCGAAGGCAGCUUACUGGACUGCAACUGACACUGAGGCUCGAAAGUGUGGGUAUCAAACAGGAUUAGAUACCCCUGUAGUC